CUUCUGCUUCGUCCGAAUCGUUAUCAGCCCAAGGUUGCAAUUCGGCUGAGCCAAAAACCAGGAAGAUGACCAACCCCAAUAAACAAAAUCCCGCCGAGAGAUAGUAGACGUAACUCCAUUGCACCAUGCUUCCUUGCUGAACAGCCCAGCUAUAUACGGCGAUAAGAAGCCAGAAAUUGUUGCCAUUCCGUUAGUCAAUCCGUACAAAGGCCCUGAAACCACCCUAUUUUGAUACGGAGACAACUUUUUCCUCUACUUCUGCUUCUUCCGAAUCGUUAUCAGCCCAAGGUUGCAAUUCGGCUGAGCCAAAAACCAGGAAGAUGACCAACCCUAAUAAACAAAAUCCGGCCGAGAGAUAGUAGACGUAACUCCAUUGCACCAUGCUUCCUUGCUGUAAGCAGAAUGAAACCAUCAAUCAAAUUUCAUUACAAUGAGAAUCUAUUAAGAAACUUUCGUAAUAAAUGAACAGCCCAGCUACAUAUGGUGAUAAGAAGCCAGAAACUGUUGCCAUUCCGCCAGUCAAUCCGUACAACGGCCCUGAAAUAUGCAGACCUCGUUUCAAGAUAUCCGAAGGUUUUCUGCAUGCGAUUUGUCGCUUGAACAGAAACUAAAAAUUAUGAACUUUAUGAAGAGAUUUGGAAAAGUGUCGUUAUGUAUAUCAGUAAGAGGCUACUUCAAUGUUACGAAAAAGUUUCCAGUGAAGAUGGCCAACGCACUUCAUUCUGUAUUUUCUGGUUUUCUGAAACUCAGAACAGCCUCUGAAAAAUGAAAAUCUUUGAUUUAUGCUUAUAACGAAGUUUUAAAACACGUUUUAAAAUUUCAUUUAAUUUUUGUACAAUGAACGAAAAAUUGUUUCGUAUUUUAUCUGCAGUGCUCAUUAUAGAAAAGCUAAAAUGCCAAUAUUAUUUUUUUUAUAGAAAAACCAAGCCGCACAUUAAAAUUAUCUUUGUAGCAUUCCUAUUAACCGAGCCAAAAUGUACCUGUUAGUUA